AUGUACCCUUCGAAGAGUAGCUUCAGCAGCAAACUGAGCGGCCAUUGCUGCUUUCUUUUCAUCAUUAAUUUUCUUUAUUUCAAGAUUCUGCCAAAAUAUUCAAUUUAGUUAGUCUAUAAUGUAACCUAGGAAACCAAAUCAUUACUAAAGUGAAUAUAGGCUUUAAGUAAUACUUUGCUUUCUAGAAGAGAUUCCGUUAAUUUUAGCUUGCCAUCAACCUUUGACAGUUCAUCGAUUACCUCUUCAACGGCUUUUUCUCUUAAUCGUUCAGAGUGUCUCAACGCUUUGAUCUCAGCUUGUGCUUCUGAUAAUUCUCUAUCCUUAUCU
rnacentral:lncRNA from 1 species